CGAAGCGGGGGGCGGAGGCUACAGGAACUACCCAAUUAGAGGCCACCGGAAACGGUUGUCGAGAGUCAUUCCACUAGGCAAGAGGAGGUCGCUUCCUGUUAAAUGGUCUUUGUAAACAUGUCUCACUGAAGCACUUGAGGUUCCCUUUCCUGUGGACUUACAGUGGUUGUGGGAGCCGUGCGGAGGCCUCUAGAUCACCCGUGAAGCCGGGAAUGGUGAGUGUGGACCCAGCCUCGGGACUCCAGGGACGACCUGGAACCUGUUGUUUCGGCAGUCCUAGAGUCCCGCGCCCGCCUCCGCCACUGCCUACUCGGCACUCGGUCUCCUCCAAGCCUCGGGGUGAGGCUAUGAUGGCAGCCGGAUCCACUGCAAACUGCCUUGCCCUGGGCAGUGAUAUCGCACCAGCCUGGAGUCCAGUGUCUCCGCAGUGUGUGCGUGGGCGGAGAGGCACGAGGCGACUCCUGACUGGAAGGAAAAAAGUUUGGAAGUCAAUAGUUUUGCAGAUUGGUACCCAAAUUGGGAAGAAGACAAGAGAUCAACUCAUCAAAACCAAUCAAAGAGGUGAGUGGUGGCUGAUUUCUGGAAUCUAUCCAGGCUAUAAAGAUCAAGUAACAGGUAUGUACAAAGCUCAAAAUUAG
rnacentral:lncRNA from 1 species